rnacentral:rRNA from 1 species
UACGGGGGGGGCAAGCGUUGUUCGGAAUUACUGGGCGUAAAGGGCUCGUAGGCGGCCAACUAAGUCGGAUGUGAAAUCCCCAGGCUUAACCUGGGAACUGCAUCCGAUACUGGAUGGCUUGAAUCCGGGAGAGGGAUGCAGAAUUCCAGGUGUAGCGGUGAAAUGCGUAGAUAUCUGGAGGAAUACCGGUGGCGAAGGCGGCAUCCUGGACCGGCAUUGACGCUGAGGAGCGAAAGCGUGGGGAGCGAUCCGG